UGCUAGAGCAGGGGUAGGCAACCUACGGCACUAGUGCCAUGCACGGCACUCAAGGCUGCUAGAGCCAAACAGGCUCUGGCCUAUCAGGAGUCCCAGUAAAACUUCAGAUAUCUGCUAAUACGAAGAGGUGGUGAAGGACAAUCCUCAAUUUAUGCAUUGCAGCACAUAGAGGAAGUGAUCUCAGAGCACUUCAUUCCAGCACUUGUGAAUGGGAAUCCACACAGUAGUAGAGCAGCUCGCAGUUGCUCUUGCAGCUCCUGUUCUUGACCUGUAUCUGGCCGGCCUGGUCCC